rnacentral:rRNA from 1 species
AUUGAACGCUGGCGGCAGGCAUAACACAUGCAAGUCGAACGAGUGGCGGACGGGUGAGUAAUGCUUGGGAAACUAGCUUAUGGAGGGGGAUAACUACGGGAAACUGUAGCUCAUACCGCCUACCAACGGAUGAGCCCAAGUGGGAUUAGCUAGUGGGUGGGGUAAAGGAUCACCAAGCCGACGAUCCAGAGCUGGUCUGAGAGGAUGACCAGCAACACUGGCACUGAGAAACGGCCCAGACUCGUACGGGAGGCAGCAGUGGGGAAUAUUGCUCAAUUGGUGCAACCCGUACGCAGCCACGCCGAGUGUAUGAAGAAGGCCUUCGGGUUGUAAAGUACUUUCAGUAGGGAGUCGUUACCUAAAGAAGAAGCACCGGCUAACUCCGUGCCAGCAGACGCGGUAAUAC